rnacentral:rRNA from 1 species
UCUUUGACACGGAGUACCAGGGCUAUGUGAUACGCUCUCGACGAGUCGAGUUGUUUGAGAAUGCAGCUCAAAACGGGUGGUAAAUUCCAUCUAAAGCUAAAUAUUGGCGAGAGACCGAUAGCGAACAAGUACCGUGAGGGAAAGAUGAAAAGAACUUUGAAAAGAGAGUUAAACAGUACGUGAAAUUGCUGAAAGGGAAACGCUUGAUGUCAGUCGCGUCGGCUGGGGAUCAACCUUGUGUGAAUAACGCUGGGUGUACUUCCUGGUGGACGGGUCAGCAUCAGUUUCUAUUCCGUUCGUAGAAUGAUCAAGGGAAAGUGGCACUCUUAGGAGUGUGUUUAUAGCCUUUGGUCGUAUGCGGGGAUGGAGACUGAGGAAAGAAAAUCUCAGCACGGUCUAAUAACGGGCUUGUGUUUAGGAUGCUGGCGAAAUGGCCUUAAGCGACCCGUCUUGAAACACGGACCAAGGAGUCUAACAUGCAUGCGAGUGUUUGGGUGAUGAAACUCAUGCGCGAAAU